CGUUCCCGGGCCUUGUACACACCGCCCGUCACGCCAUGAAAGUCGGUAACACCCGAAGCCGGUGGCCUAACCCCUCGUGGGAGGGAGCCGUCGAAGGUGGGAUCGGCGAUUGGGACG
rnacentral:rRNA from 1 species